AUUCUAGACCAAGGAGAAACGUUUUAAUAUAUACGUGUUUCCGCGUAUAACCGAGGAACCUUGCCGAUACAUUUUAUCGAAACUUUGUGGAAUAUCGUCAAGAUCGAACCACUCGAUAAUCGGCUAUUAAACUGUUUUACUGUGAAUAAUUGUAUCGGAUGUCGGUUAACCGACAUACAUUUAAUGGAUAUACGUCGAGAUCUCGUCGGAAUUCUUUUUCGAAAGGAAGUGACGCGCGGUGACACAAAAAAUGUUGGUUGGGAAAAAAGGAAAGGAAGAAGAAGAGGAAGAGAGGGAAAGGUCUUGGUUGCGCUUUGAAGGGCAGGUUUAACUCAAAGGAGGGAACGGGGCUACUUUUCAUUCCGGGAAAUGGUAAACUGACGCGCAAGAAACGUACGAAAAGUCCUCGAGACGUUCCACUUUUUCGACUGCCUUCUUUACGGCGCAGUAACGAAUGACUGAAGUGCACUUUACGGCAUGUUGAGUUUAACGACGUAAAAAAAGUCGCCGAGCUUUGCUGCGCUUUUCAAAGGAUCAAGGACGAAACGGGGAACGUCAACCCGGUGUUCUGAUCGCGAGAAUCGCGACACGUAAUUUGCACACGCCUGUUUUCCGUCUCUGGAUGUCUUCUGCAACGUUCUUGAGAAGAGACGUUUAAUUUUUCUCAAUGCGACGUUAUAAAAAUUGUUAUUAAAAAGAUACUUGGUAGAAUUGAGAUAUAAAUGGAACGCGUGCGAAAUAACAGUGUCUCGAAUUGGAAAGCUUCGUACGUGUGUUAGUGGUGUUUAAAGCAAGAAAUUACGUACAUGUUACGAUAAUCUAAAUGUGUGUACCCAUGUGGGGAGAUGGUCUUGCCGGGCACGGUGGUCCAAUUGUAACUUGCCGAGACCAACGAGUACGCGUUCAUAAGUCCAAAGCCGAAACGUGAGUUGAACCAAAAUCCAGCCGAGUUUCUGAACCAGCCAGGGUUCUCCCUGAAAAUCGAUGCAAUUAUAGGAGUUGCCUUCGCGAAACGAAGAACGACCAACGAGGAACGAAACAGGUCACGGUGGACGAGCGAGAGGGAAAGAAAAAGAGAGCGUGUGGAACAAGGAAAAAGAUCGCGUUGAAUUAAAGAUCAGGCUUCCCUUCGAUGCAGGAUAUCUUAAGAACCGGAAGUCGUAUCGAUGCGAGUCAAAAGAAGAAUCGAAGGCCAAAGUUACUGCUUUCCAACAAUUAGCUUAGAUUGCACAGCUUGGAAUAGAUUUUCAAGAGCUAUGCGCGUUUAAAAUUUAGAAUAUUUGAGCUUUACCUGAGUGGACUGUAUUCCGAGCUCCAAACGAUGAGGUGUUGCACGUCUCUCCAGGUUAAAUUUUUGCUUCAAGAAUAAUAAUAAAUUAUUUUCAUUAUUCACUA